GACGAACGCUGGCGGCGUGCCUAAUACAUGCAAGUUGAGCGAUGAAGAUUGGUGCUGCACCAAUUUGAAGAGCAGCGAACGGGUGAGUAACGCGUGGGGAAUCUGCCUUUGAGCGGGGGACAACAUUUGGAAACGAAUGCUAAUACCGCAUAACAACUUUAAACAUAAGUUUUAAGUUUGAAAGAUGCAAUUGCAUCACUCAAAGAUGAUCCCGCGUUGUAUUAGCUAGUUGGUGAGGUAAAGGCUCACCAAGGCGAUGAUACAUAGCCGACCUGAGAGGGUGAUCGGCCACAUUGGGACUGAGACACGGCCCAAACUCCUACGGGAGGCAGCAGUAGGGAAUCUUCGGCAAUGGACGAAAGUCUGACCGAGCAACGCCGCGUGAGUGAAGAAGGUUUUCGGAUCGUAAAACUCUGUUGGUAGAGAAGAACGUUGGUGAGAGUGGAAAGCUCAUCAAGUGACGGUAACUACCCAGAAAGGGACGGCUAACUACGUG
rnacentral:rRNA from 1 species